AGUGGCUGUCGUCAGCUCGUGUCGUGAGAUUGGUUACGGUUAACGUCCGACUAACGGGCGCAACCCUCGCUGUAUGUUACAUGUGUCAUACAGGACCGCCGGUAUCAAGCCGGAGGAAGGUGGGGAUGACGUCAAGUCCGCAUGGCCUUUAUGUCCGGGGCUACACACACGCUACAAUGGUCGGUACAAUGGGUUGCUAAGCCGCGAGGUGGAGCCAAUCCCCCAAAGCCGGCCUCAGUUCAGAUUGCAGGCUGCAACUCGCCUGCAUGAAGCUGGAGUUGCUAGUAAACGCGCGUCAGCUAUAGUGCGUUGAAUACGUUCUCGGGCCUU
rnacentral:rRNA from 1 species